GAUUCAACCUAUAUAACCCUAAAGUACCAGGUUCCAUUUGAUCUUGAAAGCUAAGCAAGGUGUACCCUGUUUAGUACUUGAGUGGGAAAUCACCAGUGAAUACCAGGUGCUAUGGGCU
rnacentral:rRNA from 1 species